CCCCGCCCCUUUUCCAGACUCCAGGCACUGGGGUGGGGGGCGCUGUGGACGAAGCCCCCAGCCGUCCUGCCCUACCCCUGGCCAGCUUAAAGUUUCCCCCCAGAUUCAGGCCUGAGGGUCCCACCUUGCUCGAGAGGGAUGGGGGCGCUGAGUAUGUAUAGGGGGCAGGCGAGGCCGGAAGCCUCUCGUCCCACGGCGCGGCCCCCCCCCAAUCUGGAUAGAAAGCGCAGUGUCCCCGGGCCCCUACGCCCCUGGGUCGCUUCUGGGGGUCCCACCUUACCUGUCCGGCGCGACCUCGGCACAGCAGCAAGACCAGCAGCAGCGGCGGCGCCGCCGCGAGCAGCAGCAUGGCCAGGACUGGAAAAGAAUCUGGAACCACAUAUCUUCUCUUUCAAAGUUGAAAUCCAGAAUAAGAUAUCUCUUCUCCCAAGCUCUUUCCAACUCUGAUUAGAGUUCUGAGUAAUCCGUCUUAACCAAUGAAAAGAAUCUUUGGCAGAUAGCCUUUGAGUUUAAACUUCAUAUGCCCAUCUUUUCUCAGGACAAACCUAACCUUUCUUUCUGGGGAGAGAAGUUUCAUGUUGGAGGAUACACAAUCAUUGAGGAACUGAGAAAUAAAUAUUCAAGGUAUGCAAAGAAAAUUCAAGAUAAUGGAGGAAUGAGAAAAAUCUUUGUUAAAAUAAAGAAAAGUUCAUGCAAAAAAAGGGAGAAAGAAAACAAUGGUAACAGAACAUAUCAAUAACUGAUGAUUAAUCCACCCAUUCUCUCAUUGUCAGAGCAUCCUCAAUGAGAGUAGUAGAGGACAGUAGAGAUUAAGCAGGCUUUCACCAGAGACAUUUAACUGUGGUCCGCAUCUAUAUCAUCUCACAAAUGACUGAAAGAUAUAGUGAACAUAAAAGUUCAUUGUUCCUAUUGUCUGUUGAUUUAGAAAAAAAAGCAUUUGAUUGAGUAGAGCAAAAUACUACAUUAAAGACUCUUUUCCAACAAA